AGCGAACGCUGGCGGCAGGCUUAACACAUGCAAGUCGAGCGCUCGUAGCAAUACGAGAGCGGCAGACGGGAGAGUAACACGUGGGAACGUACCCUUCGGUUCGGAAUAACCCAGGGAAACUUGGGCUAAUACCGGAUACGUCCGUAAGGAGAAAGAUUUAUCGCCGAGGGAUCGGCCCGCGUCCGAUUAGCUAGUUGGUGGGGUAAUGGCCCACCAAGGCGACGAUCGGUAGCUGGUCUGAGAGGAUGAUCAGCCUCACUGGGACUGAGACACGGCCCAGACUCCUACGGGAGGCAGCAGUGGGGAAUAUUGGACAAUGGGCGCAAGCCUGAUCCAGCCAUGCCGCGUGGGUGAUGAAGGCCUUAGGGUUGUAAAGCCCUUUCGGCGGGGAAGAUAAUGACGGUACCCGCAGAAGAAGCCCCGGCUAACUUCGUGCCAGCAGCCGCCGUAA
rnacentral:rRNA from 1 species